AUACUGAGGGUGCUAGCGUUGUUCGGAAUCACUGGGCGUAAAGCGCGCGUAGGCGGUUCUGUAAGUCGCUUGUGAAAUCCCGGGGCUCAACCCCGGGGCUGCAGGCGAUACUGCAAGACUAGAGCUCGGUAGAGGCAAGUGGAGUUCCCGGUGUAGCGGUGGAAUGCGUAGAUAUCGGGAAGAACACCGGUGGCGAAGGCGGCUUGCUGGGCCGAUGCUGACGCUGAGGUGCGAAAGCGUGGGGAGCAAACAGGAUUAGAAACCCCGGUAGUCC
rnacentral:rRNA from 1 species